GCCACUUGCCCGGGGGCUUCUUGCCAGGAACUGAAGAAUCACCAGGAGGAAGAACAACAAUCGGAGGAAAAACUCCAGCCACAUAAGAAGUUAAAUGUGCCGCAACCACCAGUGGCGAAAUUGUGGACAUCACAGGAGCAACCACAGCCAUCACAGCAGCAGCCAUCAGUGCAGCCACCAUCACAGCCACCACCACAGCCAUCAACAUUGCCACAGGCACAGGUGUGGCCAGGGCCACAGCCACCACAACCACAGCCACCACCUCAGCCAACACAACCAAGUGCUCAAGCCCGUUGUACUCAGCACACCUCCAAAUGCAAUCUCCAGGAUUCCCAAAGGCCAGGUCACCAGCCUACUUCAGCGGGGAUCUACUAAGCUGGAGGGCAAUCUCUGUAUCAACAACAGAUUCCAGGGUCUCAUGAACCCAUGCCAAUCUAGCCCCAUCAGAAACACUGGGUAUUCACAACUCAAGUCUACCAAUUACAUACAGCAGUGGUGAUCCAGAGAUUGAACCCAGGACCCCAUGGCCAUCCCCAAAAUGCAGAUGAGCAACCACAUCUUCUCAGCAUCCAGCAAUAUCUCCACUCCAAAAGCCACCCACUCUAGAAGAGGAGGCUGCCAGGAAUAAAAUGUAAUUUUUUUCCUGGGAAGAAUCACGGGACCGGACAGCUUUAUGAGACAGGGAUGAGAGGAAGAGGGCAGGAGGACUCACGAAGGGGAUGGAGAGGGUGGAAAGAGAGUGGAAGGCAAGUUUAUGCUUCUCUAGGCAAAGCCAAUGGGAGAACUGGGUCUUGGGUCCCCCCCAAGUAUGCAACUCCUACUACUAUCACUACCUGCCCUCAUUCAGCAGUGAUAAGUCUGUGGGGGGCUUCAGUUUAUGACUGUCACUGGAGCCAUCACCC
rnacentral:lncRNA from 1 species